AUUGAACGCUGGCGGCAGGCCUAACACAUGCAAGUCGAGCGAGCGGCGGUCGGGUGAGUAAUGUAUGGGGACUGCCCGAUAGAGGGGGAUAACUACUGGCAACGUUAGCUAAUACUGCAUACUAUCGGAUAACCCAUAUGGGAUUAGCUAGUAGGUGAGGUAAUGGCUCACCUAGGCGACGAUCCCGAGCUGGUCUGAGAGGAUGAUCAGCCACACUGGGACUGAGCCACGGCCCAGACUCCUACGGAGGCAGCAGUGGGGAAUAUUGCACAAUGGGCGCAAGCCUGAUGCAGCCAUGCCGCGUGUAUGAAGAGGGCCCUAGGGUUGUAAAGUACUUUCAGUCGGGAGGCGUUACCGACAUAAGAAGCACCGGCUAACUCCGUGCCAGCAGCCGCGGUAAUAC
rnacentral:rRNA from 1 species